AUUGAACGCUGGCGGCAUGCUUUACACAUGCAAGUCGAACGGUAACAGGCCUUCGGGUGCUGACGAGUGGCGAACGGGUGAGUAAUGCAUCGGAACAUACCCAGUCGUGGGGGAUAACGUAGCGAAAGUUACGCUAAUACCGCAUACGUCCUGAGGGAGAAAGCGGGGGAUCGCAAGACCUCGCGCGAUUGGAGUGGCCGAUGUCAGAUUAGCUAGUUGGUAGGGUAAAGGCCUACCAAGGCCACGAUCGGUAGCUGGUCUGAGAGGAUGAUCAGCCACACUGGGACUGAGACACGGCCCAGACUCCUACGGGAGGCAGCAGUGGGGGAAUAUUGGACAAUGGGCGCAAGCCUGAUCCAGCAAUGCCGCGUGUGUGAAGAAGGCCUGCGGGUUGUAAAGCACUUUCAGUGGGGAAGAACAGAUUCGGGUCAAUACCCCGGAGCCCUGACGUUACCCACAGAAGAAGCACCGGCUAACUCCGUGCCAG
rnacentral:rRNA from 1 species